GCAGCAAAGUAUUUGGCAUAGGAAACAUUCAUCAACACCAAUCAAUUGCACUAAAUUCUUGUCAACCGUGAGUGUGAUAUGUAAUCUAUGAGUCACUAGGAAUAAAACAUGAGGAUUUAACUGCAGGGAUUUUAAGCAUGCCUGCUGAUAAAGUCAGCAAGCACAUCUGCUGGUGAGCUGCUUUGGAGAUACUCUUUUAAGUUGUGUUGUUUCAACUACUCUGAGAAAUACAGUGUAUUGCAUUCCUACAAUUCCAAAUCUUAAGUAAACUACUAGAUUAUCCCUGGAGGUGUUCAAGACCAGGUUGGAUGGGCCCUGGGAAGCCUGUUCUAGUACCAGAUCUGGAGAGGCUACGAGUUUGGCAGAGGAAGUGCUGGAAGUCUGUGUCAUGGGCCCCAUAACUCCAAAAUGGUGAUUCAGAAGAAUCACAUUCCCUUUGUUACUGCAUCACUUCAUUUUGGAGAGCAGGAUUUGUACAUUGUGCGUGCCUGCAAAACAUCUCCUGCAGAGGGAAGGCUAAAGACACAGAAGUGGAAGAGAGUAACAGUAGAACAGAGGAAAAAAGAUAUUCAAAAUUGCAAUGAACAAAGAAAUGGGAACAAGUUAAUCUGACUUCAAUGCAAAUUCCUCUGUGUAUGGAACACUUCUUUCACUACUCAGUGGAAUGCUUAAUAAAGUUAUUUCACAAAUAACCA
rnacentral:lncRNA from 1 species